rnacentral:tRNA from 1 species
GGGGAGAUGGCUCAGUGGUUAAGAGCACUGGCUGCUCUUCCAGAGGUCCUGAGUUCAAAUCCCAGCAACCGCA